rnacentral:rRNA from 1 species
AUUGAACGCUGGCGGCAGGCCUAACACAUGCAAGUCGAGCGGAUGAAGGGAGCUUGCUCCUGGAUUCAGCGGCGGACGGGUGAGUAAUGCCUAGGAAUCUGCCUGGUAGUGGGGGAUAACGUCCGGAAACGGGCGCUAAUACCGCAUACGUCCUGAGGGUGAAAGUGGGGGUUCUUCGGACCUCACGCUAUUAGAUGAGCCUAGGUCGGAUUAGCUAGUUGGUAGGGUAAAGGCCUACCAAGGCGACGAUCCGUAACUGGUCUGAGAGGAUGAUCAGUCACACUGGAACUGAGACACGGUCCAGACUCCUACGGGAGGCAGCAGUGGGGAAUAUUGGACAAUGGGCGAAAGCCUGAUCCAGCCAUGCCGCGUGUGUGAAGAAGGUCUUCGGAUUGUAAAGCACUUUAAGUUGGGAGGAAGGGCAGUAAGUUAAUACCUUGCUGUUUUGACGUUACCAACAGAAUAAGCACCGGCUAACUUCGUG